rnacentral:misc_RNA from 1 species
GAAUUCCCUCCAAAAAGCAAGCUAAACUAUAAACAAUUUGGCGAUCAGAACAGUUCAAUAACAAAAGAACAUAUAGAGAAUAAAUUACAUGGAAUGAGUUUAGAUGAGGCAAUAGAGAAGAACAAGUUAUUCAUAUUGGAUUACCAUGAUGUGCUGAUGCCAUACCUGAGGCUGAUAAAUGAGGAAACUUCCACAAAGAUUUAUGCAUCAAGAACACUCCUUUUCUUGAAAGAAGAUGGAACCCUGAAGCCACUUGCAAUUGAAUUAAGUUUGCCUCAUCCUGAGGGAGAUCAAUUUGGAGCAGUAAGCAAUGUAUACACACCUGCUGAACAUGGAAUUGAAGGCUCCAUCUGGAAACUGGCUAAAGCUUUUGUGACUGUAAAUGACUCAGGAUGUCAUCAGCUGAUUAGUCACUGGUUGAACACGCAUGCAGUGAUUGAACCAUUUGUGAUUGCAACAAAU